UACGUAGGGUGCGAGCGUUAAUCGGAAUUACUGGGCGUAAAGCGUGCGCAGGCGGUUGUGUAAGACAGGUGUGAAAUCCCCGGGCUUAACCUGGGAACUGCGCUUGUGACUGCACGGCUAGAGUACGGCAGAGGGGGGUGGAAUUCCUGGUGUAGCAGUGAAAUGCGUAGAUAUCAGGAGGAACACCGAUGGCGAAGGCAGCCCCCUGGGCCUGUACUGACGCUCAUGCACGAAAGCGUGGGGAGCAAACAGG
rnacentral:rRNA from 1 species